AGGAGAUACCAAUAAGCAAUCUGCGCCUGAGCUUUCAGACGCACACGCAUAUAUGCAUACACAUGCACACACGUAUACGCGCGCGCCCCCCACGGGACGGGGAGCGACCCACCGCCCGUGAGGACUGUCCGCCCCUCCGGGCGCAGGCGGGGACACCUUGCCGGGGGGCACUGGGCAUACCCGCCAGGGCAGGAUCUCGCCAUGGGGUGGUAAGCGGGCAUGUUUUAAGUGCCCCGGGAGGCGAGGGAUGACCGACCCUAAAAAGCCUUGCUGUUUACCCAAAACGCGCUGUUCUCCCCCUGACAGCUACGCGGUCGGGGAUGUUUUGCGUUUUCCUUCCGCCCCUCGAGCCCCGGGUGCGGGUUUACCGCAGCGGUGCCGGUGCGCGGAGCCCGCCGCAGUGCCCGGCGCUGGGCGCUCCGCAGGCGCCACCGCGCGUCCCGCCGCCGCCCUGCACCGCACCCCACCCGCACCCCGCGGAGGGACCCCCGCGGAGGGGACGCGCUGCAAUUAGUGUGGGGGGUCAAUUAACCCCCGACCGCCCUGUGGACUAAUACAGUGCCCACUUUAGCACUGUGGGAGAGCGGCAAUGAGUUAGCAUUUCCCAGCAUGAAGGUUGAGGCAGGUCUGACUUAGUACAGCACAUAAUUCACAGGUGCAAUAGGCGGCUGACCUGGGAAAUUGGGCCUGAUAAAGAUAUUCGUCCCUUGCCAUUUCUGCAGCUGCGUUCCUUCUGUCCUGGCUAAAGACAGUAGGAAAGAACUGCUCAAAUACUUCAUAUGAAGCAUUGCUUAAAGGAGAGCCACAACUAAACCAGUGGAGACAAGUACGUUUCUGGUAAUGGUCUGAGAGCAAACAUCAUCCUGAAGGUGGUAAAGCUAGAACAAAGACUUGAAAACACAACGACUCUAUAGAGUGUGAUCAGAGGGCUUGAAAAUAUAAACUCAGAGUCUAGACUGAAAGAACUGAAAGACUGAAGAGAAGUGCAGUAACACUACUGAAAUAUGUAAAAGGAUAUACAGAUUGACUGGUAACAAUUUUUUUCCUUGUCUGUGGGAUAGGAUGAGAUUACAGCAAGGAAGAGUCAUGUUCAACAUUACAAAAACCUAUGUGUGGAAAGGACAGUUCGGUACUACAGGUAGAUCACCAUGGAGAACACUGGAAUCUUGAGCAAUAGAGCAAUAGAGCCUUCUCAGAGCAGGUGAGAUGAGCUUCAGAGUUAGUGAAGUAGAGUCAGAUUUGCCUUAGGUAGGUGAAAACAAAUUGACAACCUCCCAGAGAUUCUGUUCCCUUGCAGUACACAUCACUUGGUUCAAUUUUUUACUGUCAUAGAUGAAGUUACGAGAGCACAUUCGUCUGAAUAUAUUAGAAGCCAAACCUGAAGAUGCUGAAAUACUCAUAGUGUUUUCUGGAAAUUACUGUAUUGAAAUUGGAUUUGAUCACUCAAACUUUAACUCAUACACAAUACAUAAAGUAUCUUUCUACUGUAACAUAUAAAUUGUAGUAAAUAUAUGAAAAGGUGUGAACAUGGAUUUCUUCAGAAGAGGUAGGAGCUGAAAACUCAAAGAAUCCCUGUGAAAAUACUGUUAUUUAGGUGGGGGGAAAAAGAAAUUGUACCACAGGAUCAGGGAAAGGUUAAGGGCCCCAUGAUUUUUGCAUUUAGUAGGGUAUCUUGUCUUGUUCAAAGGAGUACAUACAGAAAGACCACUCUUAUACACCUGCAUAGACAUACACUUCUUACAUUUUGCUUACAGUUUGGGGAUUUUUAGUUGUUACAAGUGAGAGAGUUUGUACAGCUCAUGGGAACUCCUGGUUUUGUCAGAAAUCUUUUGUUUUUCAGAGAAAUAUCCUGAUUCCCGUGAAACUUUAUGCGAAGAUUUUCUUGCAUUCGAGCUAAACAUGAGACAUGGCUGCACUAUGCCCCAGAGCAAGCAUAUGAACUCGAAUCUCCAGCAUCUGCUGGUCUAAUAACUAUUCUGACUUGCACUUGCUUCUCUUCCCUGAGCUCCCGCAUCUUCUCCCUCAAUGACAAAAAUUGGCUUCCACACAACCCUUUUCUGAACCUCCUCCAAAGCACUCUCUGAGUGUCCUGGCCUGGCUUUUGUUAUUUCCAGUGUUUCACCUAUUCACAGAUUUGUCAAUCUACUUGAUCGUAGCUGCUUUUCACUCCUGACUAAUGGAAGCAUUUUUACCUUACUUGUUUCAAGCACUGUUCAGUGCUUAUGGGCUUUAAAUAGAGGCUGAAUCCUGCCACCUUGUGCUCAAGAAAAUUAUCACACCUCUUUAUUUAGGGAAGAAGGGGAAAGGAAAAAUUUACUGUAACAACCGUGUUUCUAGUAAACAAGGAACUAAAUGAAGGCCUGAGGGUCUAAUAGUUGGUUCCAAUUCGAUAGUGCCUGAGAUGUCUACCUGGGGCCUCCUCACAAGUUGAAUCACUCUUCUAGGGCCACUGUUCACACCGCAACCCAUAUUCCAACCCAGUUUCAAAGCUCAGGCCUCCCCGAUGUCCUAAUGAUGUGAAGGUGCUUAACCCAGCCUCUUGGCCCAUAGUCCAUGUCUGUCUGAUGCCUACAGGUGUUAAUCACAGAGUUCCAGGUUUGGUUUUUAUGGUUUUUUGGUUUUUGUUUUGUUUGUUUUUACCUAUGGGAGCAGCACUACUUUCUUUUCAUCAAUAAGCAAUCACAUCAUAGGGUACAGGAAAGGACCCUCUUCAUUUAUUAAAAAAAAAUUAGUAUUUUCUGAGGGGGCUGUAAAAGUAAUGACUGUGGGGAGCAUGGAUCUCCCUUUUCUGCUGAAGACCAAGGCAACAUUAUUUUUUUUCUGGCUGAUAGGACCUUAAAAGUCACUUUCUGGUAAUGCUAUGAGAGCAAACACCAUGCCAAAGCUGGUAAAACUAGGAUAAGGACUUGCAAAGGAUUACUUCCUCCAUCCCAUGCAUGAUUGCCUUCUCUCUAUGUCAGUGCAAGCUCCUGCCCCUACUUCAGACUAUUUUACCACCACUCUUCUGAGCAUCUCUGCAGCCAACCAAACAGGGCAGCUUGUUGAUUCUGCAGCUACUCAUUUACCACCUUCUGGACACCUUCUGACUGGAAACAUAAAUGGUAUGUUUAACCAUAAGGCAUUAGCAAUGGGAAUCCCAAAGUAGCUGAUAAGCUCUAAUGUUCUGGUUUACUGUUUUUGUCAAAUGAUAUUUGUUCAAGUUAAGUUUGUAGCAAAUUCAUGGACUUGCUCAGUUCACAGAAAUCAUUUUUCCCUGAGAUAAUCCAGCUGAUUGUCUGUAUGCUUGUUUGCACACACACAUUUGGUUGUGGAAGACAUGCUGGUCUUUCUGAUAAAAAGGGUUUAACAGGUGGAAAAUGGCCAACAUAAUAAAAAUUUGACAGACAGUUGAGAGUUUUCUCUCAGUUUAAAAGCAGUGAGAAUUUUUUGGUCAUGAUGAGCUGCUGAUAUUCUGUAUCUUCCUUUAUAGUAAUCAGUGAAAAAGAAGGAAAAAAAAAAAAAAAAAGAGAGAGAGACUACACAAAACUCAGUUUCCAGUACACGAAUAGCAAAAUCAGAAAUCAUCUGAAAACUUAGCUAUUGGAACACUGAAAGCCAGCUUCACUUGGCAUCAGAAGUUACUGACUUAUUGCUUUUCUCAUAAUUUAUUGUUCCUCAUUCACAUGAACUACAUACCAUGAAUAUGCAUUGCCUCAUUAUUAUGAGGUUAAGAUAAUUUCUAGUGAGAGGUGAACAUGACUUUUGACACCUUGCCUUUCUAGGCCAUAUGCAACACACUGACCUGGAGCACAAAAGCUCUGUAGUUUAUUGCUCAAGAUAGAAAUAAUUUAUUUAUGAUGCAGAUAUACUUGUCAUGGCCAUGCUAGUGUCUCAUUUAAACAGAAGUCAAAUCUUAUUAUAUGGCCUUUUUCUCCAAGGGAAAAUAUUGCUUGUAUAGUUGUGCUUAUUGUUGAUGGCACAGGCAGGACAUAGUAAUUCUGUUCCAAAACUAACGAUGAUAUCUAGGCAUAUCUCUUCUCACAGUGGCAGAGACAACAGCCAUGAGCAGAGAUAAGCAGUCAAACUAGGAGAGAGCUAGAAGGUCAGAAAUCAAUAGUCUCCAGCUGAUCUAUUUAGGACUAAGAAAUCCUGGUGGUCGGUCGGUACUGUGGCUGUAAGUGCAGGUCAUUCUUCCAGUUAACUUAUGGAUAAUAUGCUGUGAAAGGCUUGGUAAAUCUGAUAUCUUUCUGUCUGAAAAUUAUGUAUAUGGGAGCAUUCUUCUUUUUUUUUUUUUUCUUUUAAGUUAAAAAUUUUAGUACUAGAGAUGAUACCAUGUAAAUAGAGUGCUUGUUGACAGUUUCAGUUUCCUUUUUGGAUGCCUGCAUCUACUGAUGCUCUAUGGGUGCUUCAACAGCUUCUAUACAAAAGAUGACACUGCAUGAUAUUGUUUUUAAGACUGAGCUAGAUGAAAACAGGAGAAUUGUUAUAAAAAACCCAUUAACUUCUUUACAGAACAGUAAAGUACUCUGCUCUCAGAAAAUAUCUGUCCUGUCCCCUGCUAUUGAAUAAUGUCUUGAUGCUGACAAAAUUGCCUGCCACCCUCUGGACUGACUUGAGAAAACACAUUGACAAGUUGACUGCUAAGCCACUCUGCUAUCAUCUGGAGGCUUUCCUGUUCAAGUUUAGAUUCAGGAUUUAGUCUAGAGUGGAAUCUGUGCAGAUCCUUUUGAUUAAUGAAUGUUCCACCAUGCGCUCUCUCUCUCCCUCAAUUAUGGAUAAAACCAUUCCAUUGCUGAAUGUUUUCUGUGGCUCCCACAGCCUUUGAUGGCCACCAACAUGUUGUGAACUUUUCCCCGUCUCCUCCAGAGCCUUUUCCUCACAACAACACCCAGAUUUGGUCACAACUUAUGAGGGAUUCUCUUACAUAAUAUUCUGCACGUUUCUAUGGUAUUUCCACUCGGUUUCCCAGAGCAACCACAGGGUGCAGGAGACAUUUUAAGCUGUACCAUAAUCAUCAGUUCUUAGUACAUUUCACAAGAUUCAGAUAACAUUUGUUCUUCAUGCUGUCGUGUCCAGCUAAAACAGAGGUAUUGUUUGGCAUCAGUUUUCUGAAGUUCAAACAAGCAACGUUGCCUUGUGUUUGGCAACACCUGCAACAAAGAAAGAGCUGAUAGUUACCCUUCUGUUCACAGGGAAUAUCAUAAAAGUUCACAAUAUCAGAACAUUUGGGGUUUGAAAGUGUUAGCAUAAACUAAUCCUAGUAUUUUUGGUACCUGUCCAAAUCUCCGGCUAAGUCAGUGUCCAGCUGCCUCCCCCAAGCAGCUGUACUUAUUGCAUGAAGCACAUUGUGUACAAUUUGGGGUAGGGACCAGUGUCUGUUGACUGUUAACAGUAUUCACAUUCAUUAAAGGUGAAUUCACCUUCCAGCUUAGGUCCUGAAGCUGAAGUCAGUGAAAGAUUCCUAAUGCCUGAACUGAAGCUUAUCUAUCCUGCACAGCUUAGUCCUCAGCAGUUAAAUGCUGCAUGAGUUGUAUUUUUUUGCCUUAUGUUCCAUCAGUUAGCCUGAACUGAUAAUGCAGCAAAAGUUUAUACCUGCUUCCCGUGCAAUUUGGUUGAGGUUUUUGUCAGGAUUAUCUUUUCUAGAUGUAUGAAAAUUCUUGUUAAUGUACUCUAUUCAUGCCCAAAAUACUUGAUUAUGUUCUCUUCCUGUGUUAUAUUUUUUCACAUUGCAUGUUGAUGUCUGAACUUUCAUAAAAUAUAUUUUUCACUUGAACAUUUUAUCCAAGAAUUACAGAGCAAAAAAGGAGAGAGGGAAGGAAAGGGGUGGUUCCUCCUUACGUCUGUCAAUGCAAAUUGAAGAUUAAGGUUUGCUUUCUUUUGCCUUUGUUUAUGCUGAUACUUUCAAAACCUAAAAUCAAAAUCUGCAUUCCAGUUUGCUGCAUUACUUUUUGCAAAGGCACAAUACCAAUGUCCAUCUGUCCCUCAUCAAUGUCUCUCUGAGUUCAUUGAUCUUUGGGUUAGACUGUAAUUUCAUGUAAACCAAGAGCAAUGGCUCAGUCUUUCUCUGCCCACUAGCAGAUUUAACUCAGCCGAUUUCUGAGAACCUGCUACAAGCCAGCCCCAAUUGCCCAUCCCAGCAUUGCUUUCCACUUAGUGACUCAGCUGCUUCAGCUCUUUGGCUGGGUUCCUUCAUCCUAGGAUGUUUCACUCAUUCCAAAUGGAGUCUGCAGAUUUUAGUAACCUUUCUACUCACGGCAAGUUGCAGAGGAAAUUCAGGACCUUCUGUUGAGUGUGCAGAUAUAAAACAUUUAAACUUGUUUUUACUCCAUCAUUUGCAGUUUCAUUAGACAUCCUACUUGAAGAACACCUUCUCUCUUCAGAUGCCGGCCCUUUUACUUGUCAUUUACAUAGGCAAUGCUCUUUGGGAUCUGUUCCUUUCUUAGCUGUGCCUGAUUUAAUCUGAUUUUGAAAACUUCUGCUGAAGAAUGAUUGUCUUCUGAAAGUGACAAAUUUUCCUUAGCAACAGAGGCAGACUUCAUGUCAGGAUUCAUCUGCCUACAUGUAGACACUCACAGCACCACUCUACAUUCCUUUUAUAUUUAAUAGGGAGAAAUGGACAAUGCCUGACAUACCUCAUCCUACAGUAAUGUCUGAAUAGGCCAGGUGGAUCAUGUCCUGCAAGUGCCUAUUUCUCUACCGAAUGCAAGUUGACUGUCUAGAUAUGGAAGUUUUUUGUUUCAAAUGUACAUUUAAAUGGAUAUUGAUCGUGGAGGGAUUUCUGCCUUUGGAUGCAGAUUGGGGAAAUCUGCUAUGUUCCUGUACAUUUUUGAACUACAAGCACUACAAACAAAACUACUUUGAAUCCUUGAUAGUACUGUCUUGCAAAAAGACAUCUCUUGUUUACAAGCCUUGGCCGUCUUUUGUUUCUCUCAAUGAAGUAUAAAAGUCUUGGAAGAACAUUCUUCAGAAAAACAAUGAACAAAAUCGCCUGCAAUUUCGAGUGUAUCAUAUUCCAAUACAAUUUGUAUAUCUACAAGGUUAAUUUCACCAACUAAUAGCCAGUAGCCAGUAGCACUUAGUUUUCAUUUAAGCUGAUGAUUGCUUCUUCAGCAUGUCUGCAUGCAGUGAAACUACUUUGCCAACUGUGCAGCUGUUCAACAAUAACAGUAAGUGUUUCCCAAGACACACAGCCUCCUUGAAUUCAACCCAGUUUUUUCCUUUGGCAUCUGUCCUUGGGGGCUGUGGUGCUUUUGGGGUGAUUGAUUGGAUUUUUCCUGCUGAAUCCCAGCUACUCAAAUCCUUUACCCUCUCCUGAUCAAUGGCUGACCAUAUUAUAUACCCUCAGGAAGCAAAGCCAGUUCUGAAAUCCAUGUCUGGCAUCUAGCCCUAAAGCUCAUAUCUUUGUUAACCCAGUCCUGUUUGAUUUAUUUACCUACUGUAGUAAUCCUUUCUUUCCCUGUACUGUCCUCACCAGUGUCAAAUUCUUGUGGUGUAGCAUUUUCUGACACCUCCCAUAGUCAGGAGGAGACAUCUCCUGUGCAGCAUUCUCCUUCCUGGCACACGACUGUGCCUCAUCAGAGUUUUGUGCAGUCACAUGAACCAGGGAUUCCCCAGGUAUUUUGUAGCUAAGAAUAACUUUCUAUAGCCAUGGUUCAGACAUGGCCAAACCCAAAUUAUGUCCUGUUUCUUCCCUGUAAUACAGAAACAGGUUACUCACAGUUGGUUACUUUCCCUUUCACUUUUGGCAUCCACCGUUGCUAGGUCAGUCUAGAUCCUGCUGCAGCUACAGGGCUUCCACCAAGCCUGGGACAGGUGUCUCUGGCUUUGCUGCUGCUGCUUGUGUGACUAGGCUUGAAAACUAGGUUGCUUGUGUUCAAAACCAGUAGUGUUUUGGGGUUUUAUGUUUGUUUCAUGCCCUCUUUAAGGAAAGGAGUCUCACAUCCUACUUCAUCUUGCAUAUAUACACACAUAUCAGCUCUGCUGGGGUGGCCCAGGAGGAGCUGCUGAGACUCAUUUUAGGCUUUCUUCCCACUGAUAUUUAACAAAUUGUGUCUUGACUGGGUUGGCUCUUGUAGACUGGCCCCUGCAUUUAUUUUUAUUUAUUUAUUCAUUUAUUUACCUGGAGGAGAACGGUGUAUUUGAGGAGAUUCCCAGGGCUUCACUCACCUACAGAUUCCAAGCAUAAGAGCCUGGAGGGUGUACACAAUCCCUUUCUUUUCUGUUUGAACCAAGAGCAAUAUUUCUUGAAAGGCAGAUGGUCUGGUGGUUAAAAGGUUAAAAGCUUUGUUAAACAUGUGUGUGCAUAGCCAUUGAUUGUGGAUUUGAUGGUAUUUAAGUGUACUUUGAAAGGAAACCACUGAUGUAGGGCCCUCUCCUUGUCAUCCUUAUUCAAUCUCAGUGUGAAAGAGCCUAACAGAUUGCCAAUUUAUUAAUUGACCACAGAGCGUGGGUCAAAGAACUGAAGUACAUGGAUGGUAGUUACUGUGGUUUGAUAAAUCUGGGCACACGAAAGUUCACUGCAGCUUCAGUGUAACUUUUAUGUGGUGAGAGAACUAACAAAAAUCUGGGGCUCAGUUUGCACAAUACAUUUAGUAUAGCUGAAUGCCAAAAGAUCUUUUCAGGUCAUUAUCAUUAAAACUCUGAUCAUCAGAUAUUGCUUCAGGAGCUCAUUUGACUUGGCAGGCUGAUACAGACUUAGCCACGUAUGGAAGGAAGUGUCACCAUUCUGAAAAGGAAGAAAGAAAAUACUAAGAGUAUGACUAGUAAGAUGAUAGGCAAAGCUUAUAUCAUCAUUAAGAUGAUAUGCAAUUUGCAUGAGGGUUUAAAAUCUUGUAGGACCGCCUAAUGCUUACCCUUGUCUUUCUGACCUGAGGCUAAAAGAAGUUGUUUGCCUUUCUUCCUCUGUUGUACCUGGAUUUCUAAAAUUUUGAUUUAAUCUUGAAGGUAAAAUACAUAAGAAGUAAAUGUAAACACUGGUAACACAGAUGUUAUAUAAAUAAUUGUAUAAAAUUAAGUUUGUGAUUCAAUUAUCAAUAGAUUAUUGUUAUAAUAAAUGUGUAAACCAUAUUUGUUUACAAUAAGAUAUACCCAUUAGAUUAUUUUUCCCAAGCAUGUAAAACUUUAUAGUCUAAGAAGCCUAUGUAAUAUAUUUACGACAUUAAGAGAAUUAGUGUGGCAGCACUAUCUCAGAAGACACUGGUCCAGCUAGUACUUUGGAAAAAUUAUCUAAGGUCAACUCACUAACUCCAAGUGUGUUAUUUCUAUUGACCUAGAAAUGCAGACUGCAAGCACAAGCAUGCAAACACUUUAAAGCUGACAAAACAGAAAUCACAUGCUUCUGCAAGCAAAGCAGCAUCCAUGAAAAUGUGUUUUGACUGUUCUUGUUUUUGAAUUAAGUUCCUGUUCUUUAAUAUCUGGGAUGAUUCCUGAAAAUACACAGAGGCAUAUGAAGACCAUUGUCUUGAUUAAAACGUUGUACAAAAGUGUAAAAAA